rnacentral:tRNA from 1 species
UUAAUUGAAGCCAAAAAGAGGCUUAUUACUGUUAAUAAUAAAAUUGGAAUUUAUAUUCCCAAUUAAA